rnacentral:rRNA from 1 species
GACGAACGCUGGCGGCGUGCUUAACACAUGCAAGUCGAACGGUGAAGGGAUCAGCUUGCUGGUUCUGGAUGAGUGGCGAACGGGUGAGUAACACGUGAGUAACCUGCCCCCUUCUUCUGGAUAACCGCAUGAAAGUGUGGCUAAUACGGGAUAUUCUGCGCCUGCUGCAUGGUGGGUGUGGGAAAGAUAUUGUUUCGGUGGGGGAUGGGCUCGCGGCCUAUCAGCUUGUUGGUGGGGUGAUGGCCUACCAAGGCGGUGACGGGUAGCCGGCCUGAGAGGGGGGACGGUCACACUGGGACUGAGACACGGCCCAGACUCCUACGGGAGGCAGCAGUGGGGAAUAUUGCACAAUGGGCGCAAGCCUGAUGCAGCGACGCCGCGUGAGGGAUGGAGGCCUUCGGGUUGUGAACCUCUUUCGCCAGUGAAGCAGGCCUGUCCCUUGUGGGUGGGUUGACGGUAGCUGGAUAAGAAGCGCCGGCUAACUACGUG